rnacentral:tRNA from 1 species
AGUUAUAUAGUAUAAAAUUUAAAUACGUUAUUUUUUCAUAAUAAAAAUGAGUUAGAUAUAACUCUGUAGCUA